CCUACGGGUGGCAGCAGUGGGGAAUAUUGCGCAAUGCGCGAAAGCCUGACGCAGCGACGCCGCGUGAGGGAUGAAGGUCUUCGGAUCGUAAACCUCUGUCAGCAGGGAAGAACGGUCACUGUGGUAAUCAGCAGUGAAUUGACGGUACCUGCAUAGGAAGCACCGGCUAACUCCGUGCCAGCAGCCGCGGUAAUACGGAGGGUGCGAGCGUUAAUCGGAAUUACUGGGCGUAAAGCGCACGUAGGCGGUAUGUCAAGUCAUGGGUGAAAGCCCAGAGCUCAACGUGGGAAAGGCUUUUGAAACGAGAAAACUGGAGUAUGUGAGAGGAUAGUAGAAUUCCAGGUGUAGCAGUGAAAUGCGUAGAUAUCUGGAGGAACACCAGUAGCGAAGGCGACUAUCUGGCACAUAACUGACGCUGAGGAGCGAAAGCGUGGGUAGCAAACAGGAUUAGAUACCCGAGUAGUC
rnacentral:rRNA from 1 species